GAGGAUGUAGCUCAGUGGUAGAGUGCUUGCCUAACAUGUAUGAGAUCCUAGGUUCAAUCCUUAGCAUGAUCA
rnacentral:tRNA from 1 species